rnacentral:rRNA from 1 species
GGGGAAUAUUGGACAAUGGGCGAAAGCCUGAUCCAGCCAUGCCGCGUGUGUGAAGAAGGUCUUCGGAUUGUAAAGCACUUUAAGUUGGGAGGAAGGGUUUCUGGCUAAUAUCCAGGAAUUUUGACGUUACCGACAGAAUAAGCACCGGCUAACUUCGUGCCAGCAGCCGCGGUAAUACGAAGGGUGCAAGCGUUAAUCGGAAUUACUGGGCGUAAAGCGCGCGUAGGCGGCCUUGUAAGUCAGAUGUGAAAGGCUACGGCUCAACCGUAGUAAGCAUUUGAAACUGCAGGGCUUGAGUGCAGGAGAGGAGAGUGGAAUUCCUAGUGUAGCGGUGAAAUGCGUAGAUAUUAGGAGGAACACCAGUGGCGAAGGCGACUCUCUGGACUGUAACUGACGCUGAGGCACGAAAGCGUGGGGAGCAAACA